ensembl:lncRNA
AAAACUAAGAAAGUUCAAAUGAAAGAAAUUGACUGUUAAGUCUAAUUGUUGAAUGUUGUCAUUGUGGUUCUUAAAUUUGAGAGUCUUAGUUCAAUCUAUAGGAUCAAGACAUUCCUUUGUCUCUGACCACCUCUCCAGCUACUCUGUGCUGGGGGAGGUUUUAUUGUAGACACAUCUGUUGUGAAGAUUCUGUUUGUUGUUUGGUAAGCUUCCUGCCCUUUGUAUGGCUUCACUGUGUUGUGCAUGGUGAACCAAUACAGGAAUUGAACCAUAUAUUGGGUUUGGGGGAGAUUUCCAUUUUAUGACUAAGGAUGUUGUUAGAAACAGUUGGAAGUCACGCACAAAGAGAGACACACAUUCUCACACACUCACUCAGACACACACACAUUCUCACAUGCAUACACACACACACAAACACACACACAAGUUCUUGCACAUGCAUAUGGGUGCUUACACAUACACACUAAUAGUGCCUUGUCUUAGAACCAUUGGGGGGUUUUACGGUGGGAGGUGCUUGUGUUGUGUUGUACUGUGUAAACUGUAACUGUCAUGUCCAUAAAAAGGCUAUGAGGACAGCUGCUCUUUGAAGGAUUUAGGCUUCAAGAGCUGGUUCUUGACCAAAGCUUCCCUCGUUAGAAACGGAUGAAGAUGAUCUCUUAUGUUUUGCAUUCUUCAUGAGGAAUAAGUCUCUAAACUAGCGGGGCAUGUGGAAACACAGACCCAACAUUGAUAUAUAUCCAUAUCUGUAAUUUUGAUACAAUAUCAGUUUGGUAAAAAAGAUAUUUCUAUAACUUUAAUAAUACAGUAACAAGUACAACUACUAAACACUACUGCGUCCUAAGGGAACAAAGAAUAAAAUGUAACAGGGAUAACAUUUUAGAGAAUUAAAAUCCCUCAAAGGAAAAAACAUAAACUUGAUAUGCAUAUCUAUACAUGCAGGUUCCUGAAUGUAACAUUCAGGAUUAUUCACUGCAGCUCCAGAAAUCAGAGCUACCUCAUCAGAUCCAAGUGUGACAUCAGCUGACACUCUUUACAGGAGAUUCCAUGUGAACUCUGUGGAGCCUGAUCUCCAAGGUUUUUAAGUCCGACCCUGAAACCAGAAGAGGAUCUUUCUCUCUCUUCAGAUUCAGUGUGAUCCAGUGAUUUCAGUCCUGCAUGAUCAGGCUGAUGUUUGCACAGAGCAGAUAAUGAAGUGAAUGUUUUUGCACAGCUGUACACCUUAAUUCCUGAGUGGGUAACUAGAUGCUUCUGUAAGUUGCUACUUUGAGAAAAGGCUUUACCACACAACUCACAGAUGUAAGGUUUAAAUCCACUGUGGAUGAGUUGGUGUUUUUUUAAACCUCCAGCCUGGGUAAAAGACUUUCCACACAAGUCACAGCUGUAAGGUUUAAAUCCACUGUGGAUGAGUUGGUGUGUUUUUAAGUCUCCAGCCUGGGAAAAAGACUUUCCACACAACUCACAGCUGUAUGCUUUAACUCCACUGUGGAUGAGUUGGUGUCUUUUUAAGCUGUGAGCCAAGGAAAAAAACUUUCCACACAAGUCACAGCUGUAAGGUUUAACUCCACUGUGGAUGAUUUGGUGUGUUUUUAAGUGUCCAGCCUGGGAAAAACACUUUCCACACAACUCACAGCUGUAUGCUUUAACUCCACUGUGGAUGAGUUGGUGAUUUUUUAAGCUGUGAGCCAGGGUAAAAGACUUUCCACACAAGUCACAGCUGUAACGUUUAACUCCACUGUGGAUGAGUUGGUGUGUUUUUAAGUUUCCAGCCCAGGCAAAAGACUUUCCACACAGGUCACAGCUGUACGGUUUAAAUCCACUGUGGAUGAGUUGGUGUUUUUUUAAGUCUCCAGCCUGGGUAAAAGACUUUCCACACAAGUCACAGCUGUACGGUUUAACUCCACUGUGGAUGAGUUGGUGUUUUUUUAAGUCUCCAGCCUGGGUAAAAGACUUUCCACACAAGUCACAGCUGUAAGGUUUAACUCCACUGUGGAUGAGUUGGUGUGUUUUUAAGCCUCCAGUAUGCGUAAAAGACUUUCCACACAAGUCACAGCUGUACGCUUUAAAUCCACUGUGGAUGAGUUGGUGUUUUUUUAAGUCUCCAGCCUGGGUAAAAGACUUUCCACACAAGUCACAGCUGUAAGGUUUAACUCCACUGUGGAUGAGUUGGUGUGUUUUUAAGUGUCCAGCCAGGGUAAAAGACUUUCCACACAAGUCACAGCUGUAAGGUUUAACUCCACUGUGGAUGAGUUGGUGUGUUUUUAAGUUCUGAGCCUGGGUAAAAGACUUUCCACACAAGUCACAGCUGUAAGGUUUAACUCCACUGUGGAUGAGUUGGUGUCUUUUUAAGCCGCCAGCCUGGACAAAAGACUUUCCACACUCAACACAGCUGUAUGUUUUCUCUCCCUUUCUUCUGUGAGGUUUGUCGGCCUCCUGAAAGCGCUGACUUCUCACUCCAUGUUGGUCCUGCAGUGACAGACAUACAAACAGAGGCAGUGAGUGAAAUGCAGUCGUGGAACAAACAGAAACUCUCUCCAUCAGUGGAAUCAAACAUGUCAAAAAACACAUUGUAGGUGUGUUACCAUCACCUUCUAGAGAAAUUAUCACAUUUCAAUGAUGUGGUACAAUGAGAGUUGUAAUGAAAAAUACAUAUUGAAGAAAUAUUGAUCAGCUGAGAAAAUCUUUUACUUAGGGCUGGGCAAUAUAUCGAGUUUUUUU